UACCCGCUGAACUUAAGCAUAUCAU
rnacentral:rRNA from 1 species